rnacentral:tRNA from 1 species
GUGUUUGGGAGAUGGCUCAGUGGUUAAGAGCACUGACUGCUUUUCCAGAGGUCCUGAGUUCAAAUCCCAGCAACCACG